rnacentral:tRNA from 1 species
GAGGGUGUAGCUUGGUGGUAGAGUGUAUGCUUAGCAUGCACAAGGGCCUGGGUUCAAUCUCCAGCGCCUCUG